AGAGAAUCAUGGGAGAUUUAUACAAUGGAUUUUCUUGCAAUUAGAAGACAUGGUUUAUUUAUUUCAUAAUGAAUAAAGUUUACCGAACAGACUUUCACAUGUCCUCAUGCACAAACUAAGUUCUUUCUCACCAGAUUUGGUUUUCAAAAAUUGGUUUUUUUUCAUUGUCAGUCUUAAAUGCGUUGGUGAAAUACAUACAACAAUUUCUUUUGAACAAAUCCCACAUCUCUGUUAUCAUCCUAAAGCUUAUCUCAUAAUAGCAUAUGUAUCCUAUUUGUACCACCAUGCUUGCAAGGGACAUAUUAGUCCUUAAACAAAAUUCAAUAAAAUAUUUAUAACCAUUUUUUGUGGCAAGUAUUUUAUGGGAUCUAUUAUUAAGUUAUGGUAAAUCAAUAAGCAUUUCAUGAUGCAAGAUAAUUUUAAUGUUAUUGUACCUAUUAUAAACUCAAAUGGUCACAAGUGCCUUCCAGUUUGUCGGGGAGCAGAAUGAAACUUGUCUAGAAAGACCCUCCACUAAACCCACGAAUUGGAUCUCACCUCCAGUCUGGAGAUGUUUAGGGAUAUAACAGAGUGGCAUUUUGGUGCUUAAAACCAUCAUGCUUUAAAAUCACUUUCAUAAAUGUCACAUAAAUUUUGAUGUUUUAAGUUGAAGACUUUUUUUAAAAUAAGUACAUAGAAAAGCAUGGAUUAUAAAGCAAAUCCCUUUUAACUUGACAUAACUAUUAUCAUUUUAAUUAUUAAUAUACUAUAUUAAUCUAUCUAUAAUGUGCACCAUCCAUUUAGUACUAAGGUUGUAAAUAUAUGGAUAGACACAUUAAAAUUCCUAUGGCUCCUUUUAGACUUUAGUGUUUGUUGGCAUCAGGAAAUUUCGCCUUGCACGUUUGUGGACCCAAGCACGCUCCGUCAUGAGAUCAUACAAUAAAUAGAAAUACAAACAUCAAUAUGACAAUUGCAAACCAUGACAACCACCAUAUUCUUGCUAUGAUAACCAUGCCAUUGGAACAAAAGGCCACCUCAGGAAUGAGAUAAAAUGUAAUGGAACAAAUUGUAUUACUCCUAGGUACCACUUAAAAGGAUAGACAAAACCAUGAUUAAAAUUCUCCUCAUGUCUUCCUUUAUUUCAAUAAAAAGAAUUCCUAUUAAAAAUCUAAAUCAACUGAAUUGAUGAUCCCAUCAUUAGAUCUUAACUCGAUGCAUGUGAAUGUUAGGGUGUCCCCUAUUCUAAGCGAUGCGCCACAACCCGACCUAAUUAUGGCGAGAAGCGAACAAGGGUUGGCUAGAUCGUUAUCACAAGCAACCUCCUACAACAUGACUAUAGCUGAUCGUAGGCCGGACCUCAGGCCUAAACUCUAUUCAUUUUUAAUCGAGCUUCAGACCGAGCCUAUUUAAAAUAUGAUCUUUUCGUGCCCAAUCUCUGCCCAUGAUCAGCUCUAAACAUGACCCAGUUAUAGUGAUAAAUAAGCAAGGGUUAGAUGGGUGAUCCAUAAAUGACACGACUGAAGUGAUAAAUAUGCAAAUAUUAGUUAGGUUAUUGCUUGUAAUUUUAGAAGCACCCUAAGCAGGGAAUAAUGGUUUUUGUCAAUAUCUGCCAAGCUCUCUGAUUUCAUAAAUACAGCUCGACCUGAUCUGUCUUUUUUUUCUGCUUUAAUUAGGACCUUCAGCGAGNNNNNNNNNNNNNNNNNNNNNNNNNNNNNNNNNGACACAGUAUCAUAUUCAUCCAGAGUGAUGGAAAACAGAUUAGGAUAAAGAUCAGAUAAAGGGAAUUGAGAUUAGAAUAAUUUUUUGGCAGGCCUGAAUUUUACAAUCUUCAAAAAAACAUCCUUCUCUGUAAUAGAACAACAGGGAGAUUUCUUGACCUAAACCGUUGCCUAAUUCCUUUGGUCCACCUAUGCCUUUGUAGGCCAACCAUAAUUAGUCUUACAUCACAAUUUCAACUUCAGUGCAAACAGAAAGAAGCACACUGCUAUAAUAACAACCACAAUUACCAAAGUACCAUGUCCACCUUUCUAGAGUAAAAUGAAAAGGAAUUUAUAUUCUUCUAAAAAGGAUGUGUUGUCAAAGGACACAUUAGAUGUCAGCCAAAUACAAACAUUUUGAACUAUGUCCUCAUUAAAAUGAUAGCUGCAGUCAGUACACAAAACAAAGCUCAAAGCACAAGGGAGAAGAAAGUAAGCAUCAUCACAACAAUUAAAAAAAUUAAUCAUUAGGACAAAGGUCACCUGAAUGCAGAUAUAAACAUCUAUCUGUAUGCGAAUAUACACACAGAGAGAAUGUCCGACAUUAAGACAUUAAGGGGCCCAAAAAUGAUGAAGAAAAUCAUGCAUGCAUCCCAUCAGUACAUAAAGAGUUACAACAUUCAAGCUUCAUUGCAAGCAUGCAAAUAUACGCCAACACUAAAAACUAGUAUAGAAAGAUCAAGUAGAAAACAAAGUAAACUUGCCUUAGGUGCACUUUCCCAAAUUUCAUCAACCAACCACCUAUAUAAAAAGUUAUAAUUUUAGUUGUACGAAGGUGUUAUACAAUGCAAAUAUAAGUAUCUCUACCGAACAUAAAUUAGUCAUAAUCUUGUGAUAACUUGGAUUUAUUAUGAAUAUAUGACAGGCCAUACAAAUGUGAAAAAACAUGAUAGGACCUGUUUUUAUUUGUUUUCAGUUGUUAGAUACGUGAACUGGGGCUACCCUCAAUGGUUAAACCCCUCUGCUUAACAACCAGAGGUUCUAGGUUCAAUUCUUGGGUGGUGCACACCCAAGCAUUAGGACAUUGGUAAUUAUAAUGCAGGUGGGCCUCCUUUCUCUCUCGAAAAAAAAGUUGUUACAUAUGCAUAGUAACUUGUAGUACUGAUGAAAGCAUAAUAAUCUAGCGCACACAAGUUCAUCAUCACAAAUGCCAAUACCCAACUUAUUUGGAUCCAGCGUACAAGCCUAUAGCUUUUCAUAUCUGGGGGUGUCUCAACAUCAUCACUUGGCUCACAUGCUACCUAAUCUAGCUUAUAUAUGUGCUGUCACGCCCCGAGCCUGGGUGUUGGCCCGCGGGGCUUUGUGGUCCCAAACCCCGCGCCAAGGUUUGGAAGUUGUUGUGUUGUUGGGACCGACUUGAUGUGGGUAACGCGCCUUUUCUUGCUGCUCUUGGAACCAUGCCGUGUGCUCUUCCAAUGAUGGUGCCGGCAGUGGAAAAAAGAAUCAAGAUGGGCUCACAAUGAAAAGGAACCGACUCUUAUUCCAAUAAGCAACGAAAUACAAGGGACUCUCGGCAAGGGUCAGGAAGGGACCUUGCACUGCCUAAAACAAUCUAGGGGGGCUGAUGUUCCCCACCCUAGCCCAAAUCUAAGGCCUAACCCCUAGAUCGAAAUCGGCACAAGUGCCGCCCAAGCCUUGCGGCCGAAAAUUCCCACUAAGGGACCUAGGGGAUUAACCCCGAACAAUGACAACUCAAAACAAUUCUUCAAUGAUCUAAUGGAUGCCUUCAAAGGGCCUUAAGGGCUCCUUUAUAUAGGCCUAACGCCUUGGCUUAUUCUCGGAAUGAAUUCAAAAUUCAAAACUAUUCUAAAUCAGCCACAAGGAGAUCUAAUUUGAAUUUGAAUUCCUUUGGCCAUGUGCUGAAUUCUGCUAGGAACUUGGAUGCCUGGGAUGCGUUGCUCGGUUGGCCGGAUCGCGUGUCCCGUGCGGGUGCUGCCAUGUGUCCAUGGUUGGCUGAUAUGGUAUCCCUUGGUGGCUGGUUGUUGGCUGCUCCCAGGCUGGCUUGGACGCGGAUCCUGGUUGGCCGGGACGCAUGUCUUGGUUGGCCGGGACGCGGAUCCGGCAGUUUUGCUUCCGUGGAUUGCUGACUUGUCCUCUUGUCCUCCUCUUAUCUUGCGGCCUGAUGCAUCUUGGCCGCCCAUGCACUUGCUCGCUGGUUUGCUAUGGAAGAGUCCACGGACUCCUCACAUUUUACAUGUGCUCUUUCUUCCUUUGGCCCCUUGCUUGGAUUUGUGCCAUGUGGCUCGGCCUGCUGCUUUUGGUUGUGCGCUGCCUUUGGGGGCCUUCUUUCCUUCUUUGCUGGUUGGGCCCACAUGUGAUGCAUCUGUUGGCUGAUGAGCUGCCCGUUGGUUCGUGCUUGAUUUGCCAAGUGCCAAUGUGGUCCGGCUUGGCCGAACAUAGGCUGAUUUGCAUGGGUUCAGCCUGCCCAUAUGUUGCUGGUAUGCAUGGCUGCUAUGUUUGGCAUGUGGGGGCAUUUGUGCUUGCGGGCGCGUGGCCCCUUGGAUGGCAUUUGGCUGAUGCGUGGCUUGGGCGCGCCAUGCAGACGUGGGUGCAGAGCGCUGCUGGAAGUGCACGUGCAGGUGCGCGCGCUGCUGGGGCCGCGCGUGGGCUGCUGCUGCUGCAGUGGCUCGAGCGUGUGGUUGGUCGCGCGCUCGGGCUGCGGUCGUCGGUUGCGCGUGGGCACAGAGCGCCAAGUGUGCUCCGGCAAGGUUGGGCGCGCGCUGGCGGGUUUCCUUGCGCGCGCAUGCUGCUACAGUCGGGCGCGGAUGCCCGGAUAUGGCCGAGUGUGCAUGCGGAGGGCCGCGCGCUGCCGGUGCGCGCGGUGGUGCGCACGCAGAGGGCUGCGCGCGGGCUGGUGGGGCGCGCGGAGGGCCGCGCACUGCUGUAGUCGGGCGCGGGCGCCAGGAGGUUGCUGAGUGCGCGCACAGAGGGUCGCGCGUUGCUGGUCGUGAACGCAGAGGGUCGUGCGCUGCCGGUUGAGCGCUCGCGGAGGUCCACGUGCGGGCUGGUGCGCACCCGGUCGGGCGCACGUUGGCUGAUGCGUGCGCAGAGGGCUGCGCGCGGGCUGAUGGGGUGCGCAGAGGGCCGCGCGCCGGCUAGUGCACGCGCGGUUGGCCGCGUGCAGGUUGUGGCUGCGCGCGGGUACGGUCGUGGCUGAUGGCCCUGAACCUCACAUGGGCGCUGUGGAGGGCCUGUGCGGGGUUGGGCCGGCUGCUGCCAUGCUUGGCCAAAGCUCGGCCAAGCCGCCAAGCAAUGGAGUUGGCCCAAGUCUUGGCUUUGGGCGAGGUUGGCCUCGCUUGUUCCGGUUGAAAUUUGACUCGGCGGAGCGGGUUUGCAACAUUCCCCCUCCCUUGGAGAACAUCCUUGCCCUCAAGGAUGAAGUUGGAGUGCUCAUGUGCCGCCACAUUGUUGUCAUCCUUGCGGUAGUGGAAGUAGCCAAGCAUGUUCCUUGUGUAAUUUGGAAUGAUCGGUACAAGAACAUACCUCCAAUAGAACAAUCCUCCUUGCAACGGGUGAUUCGCAAGUCCAUCAGCCGCUGCAGCAAUUUCAUUGCAGAUUUCUGGAGUUUGCAGUCUUUGAUCUUCUGCAUCAGCAGGCUCGGUUUCAUGGGUUGUUUCGCCAUGGCUGGUUGCUGCAGACUUUGUCUCAACAUCAGGUUCUGCUUCAGCAUCUUCUACCGUGCAGGGGUUGGUUUCAGCAGCAUCUCUUUUGAUGCAAUUAGUUUCAGCAACCCGCAGAAUUGGAUUUCCUGGUUCGGUGGCUUCAAGUUGCUGGAAUUCGCUGCUGCUGCGAUCUGAAGUUGCAGCGACACCUUUGGCCUUCAGUUCGCUGCUGUCGUCCAGCAAAAGGGCCUGGUCGGAGUUGCAACUAUGGUCUUUUUUCCACUUGGCGCCGCACUUGAGGCAGAGCCCCUUGUCGAUGAAGUCUUGCAAUUCAUCACGGGUAAGUUUCUUUACCUUGUUGGCUUGGGCUGCAGCCGUCUCCUUUGCUGCUGUAGUUGGUGUCUUAGCAGCUGAUUUUGUCCGGCUGAACCUUGCGGUGGUAGAAACUUCUACGAGUGCUGAAAUUUCUGCUGCUGCAGAUUUUUUUGGUAGAGAAUCAAGAUCACCCCCAAUCCUCACUUGCUGAUCAUCUUCCUCCAAGGUUGAUGCUGCGGCCUUUGUUGUCGCAGCUGGUUGCCGCAGCUUUGGGGCUGUAUGAUCGGCUUUGGAAAAAAGUUCAUGGCCGUCGGUAGAUUUUGUAUUGGUGUUAUACUUGUGGUUGGAUGUUGGACAGUUAAAUCUAUGUUCCUUUGGCCCCCCUUGAAGCCUUAGAUCCCUAGUAGAACUCUCAUCAUAGACAUCACCAAUCAGCCCUUUCUUCCUCCUAUCCAUGUGUCUUCUCCGGCCUUCAAGCCUUCGAACAUGGACAAGCUCCUCUUCGGACUCGGUACUCUCAUCAUAGUACCCCAUAUCUCUCUCUAUCUUGGUCUCCCUCUAAUCUUCUCUCUACAACACUUCUUCUUCGAUUCAUGUUUUCCCUCAUAUUUUUUCUUACUUUCUCUCCUUAUGUCAGCCAAAGUGUUUAUAAUAUUUUCCCACAUUCGGCCUAGUUGGUUAUUACUACCUUUUGAGUCGCCCCCCAACUCCAUGAUAGAUCUACAAUCUUUUUUUUCCAAACAAAAACCAAUCCUCCUAUGGAAGUCACCCAAAGGAUGAGCCGACCCUCCUUAUGAUGUGAGGAUUACACACACAAAAUCUCCCUUACAAGGACAAUCUCUCAACUAUCACGACAAUGUUUUAAAACCCCUUUACAAUCAGAUCUCUCAAGCAAUAGCAAUGAAAAACUUAGAUCUGAUUUUCAGAUCUCAUGAACUAAUCAAUACCGAAUUUAGAUCUGAAAAGGUAGUGCGUUACCCUUUUAGAUCGCCCUUCCAUGGAUUUGGACUAAAGCCGAUUACCCGACGAUCUCCGUUGUAGUCUCUCAAUGAAAGCACCAGUGUUGGCCCGCGGAGCUUUGCGGUCCCAAACCCCGUGCCAAGGUUUGGAAGUUGUUGUGUUGUUGGGACCGACUUGAUGUGUGUAACGCGCCUCUUCUUGCUGCUUUUGGAACCACGCCGUGUGCUCUUCCAAUGAUGGUGCCGGCAGUGGGAAAAAGAAUCAAGAUGGGCUCCCAAUGAAAAGGAACUGACUCUUAUUCCAAUAAGCAACGAAAUACAAGGGACUCUCGGCAAGGGUCAGGAAGGGACCUUGCACUGCCUAAAACAAUCUAGGGGGCCUGAUGUUCCCCACCCUAGCCCAAAUCUAAGGCCUAACCCCUAGACCGAAAUAGGCACAAGUGCCGCCCAAGCCUUGCGGCCAAAAAUUCCCACUAAGGGACCUAGGGGAUUAACCCCGAACAAUGACAACUCAAAACAAUUCUUCAAUGAUCUAAUGGAUGCCUUCAAAGGGCCUUAA
rnacentral:lncRNA from 1 species